rnacentral:rRNA from 1 species
GACGAACUCUGGCGGCGCGCCUAACACAUGCAAGUCGAACGAGAGAUGAGGAGCUUGCUCUUCAAAUCGAGUGGCGAACGGGUGAGUAACGCGUGAGGAACCUGCCUCAAAGAGGGGGACAACAGUUGGAAACGACUGCUAAUACCGCAUAAGCCCACGGCUCGGCAUCGAGCAGAGGGAAAAGGAGCAAUCCGCUUUGAGAUGGCCUCGCGUCCGAUUAGCUAGUUGGUGAGGUAAUGGCCCACCAAGGCGACGAUCGGUAGCCGGACUGAGAGGUUGAACGGCCACAUUGGGACUGAGACACGGCCCAGACUCCUACGGGAGGCAGCAGUGGGGAAUAUUGCACAAUGGGGGAAACCCUGAUGCAGCGACGCCGCGUGGAGGAAGAAGGUCUUCGGAUUGUAAACUCCUGUUGUUGAGGAAGAUAAUGACGGUACUCAACAAGGAAGUGACGGCUAACUACGUGCCAGCAGCCGCGGUAAAACGUAGGUCACAAGCGUUGUCCGGAAUUACUGGGUGUAAAGGGAGCGCAGGCGGGAGAACAAGUUGGAAGUGAAAUCCAUGGGCUCAACCCAUGAACUGCUUUCAAAACUGUUUUUCUUGAGUAGUGCAGAGGUAGGCGGAAUUCCCGGUGUAGCGGUGGAAUGCGUAGAUAUCGGGAGGAACACCAGUGGCGAAGGCGGCCUACUGGGCACCAACUGACGCUGAGGCUCGAAAGUGUGGGUAGCAAACAGGAUUAGAUACCCUGGUAGUCCACACCGUAAACGAUGAUUACUAGGUGUGGGAGGAUUGACCCCUUCAGUGCCGCAGUUAACACAAUAAGUAAUCCACCUGGGGAGUACGACCGCAAGGUUGAAACUCAAAGGAAUUGACGGGGGCCCGCACAAGCAGUGGAGUAUGUGGUUUAAUUCGACGCAACGCGAAGAACCUUACCAAGUCUUGACAUCCCUUGACGAUGCUGGAAACAGUAUUUCUCUUCGGAGCAAGGAGACAGGUGGUGCAUGGUUGUCGUCAGCUCGUGUCGUGAGAUGUUGGGUUAAGUCCCGCAACGAGCGCAACCCUUAUGGUCAGUUACUACGCAAGAGGACUCUGGCCAGACUGCCGUUGACAAAACGGAGGAAGGUGGGGAUGACGUCAAAUCAUCAUGCCCUUUAUGACUUGGGCUACACACGUACUACAAUGGCGUUAAACAAAGAGAAGCAAGACCGCGAGGUGGAGCAAAACUCAGAAACAACGUCCCAGUUCGGACUGCAGGCUGCAACUCGCCUGCACGAAGUCGGAAUUGCUAGUAAUCGUGGAUCAGCAUGCCACGGUGAAUACGUUCCCGGGCCUU